rnacentral:lncRNA from 1 species
AUUGUGUUACAAAUUUUCCAAAGUUGUUCCACAUCUUUUGGAGGUGACAUAAGCAGAGACUACAACGAUGUGGAAUGGAGAGAUACUCUCUAGAGAAAAAGGUGUGUUAUCAUUUGAAAUGAAGGAGGGAGGCAUCUUGGGUCCAGUUCCUAAUCAGGAAUCACCAUGGAAACAGGAGCUACCCCCUUAUACCUUUCUUGUGAGGAAGUGAGGAAGCAAGAACCCCACAGGUGAAGUCCCUACAUAGGAAGGAGUCGUCACCCAUAAUUCUGUCUAACUCCUCCCAUCACUGUCAUCCAGCUGCUUCACUGUGUCUGCUGUGCAGGAAAAGCAGGAAUCCCAGAAGCAGGUGGUGGGAAGGACAGAGAUGGAAGGAUUGUUUCUGGAGUACCUGCCUGCAAUAACCAGUUAUUUCUGCAGAGCAAGUAUUCAGUUUUUCUUCUGCUUGGACAAGGAGGAAAAGCAAGGUCUGUCAAAAAGAGCCUUUAGAGUGUACAGGACAGACACCAAGUUCAGGAGUUAUUUUUAUUCCUUCAGAUCUCCUAGAAAUGUCUUGCUUUUGGCAGUUCACAUACAAGUGGAGACAACUCUGCGAAGUAUUGCCACUAGUGACUUCGCCCUUCUCAGUGAGCUGGUCCUGUGUGCUGGAAACAUCCCACCUCAAGGUCCAUCUAUGAUUAGAAGGGAAUUGUCCAGACACAUAAAAGGAAUGUUCCUUCGGGCUGCAAAGAAGUUUAGGAUAUUGAAAACCUAUAGAAAUGGAGACAGCAUAAGCUCUUUGGGCAGUCUGUAGAGACACUAAAGUUAAAAUGCUUUAUGGAGAUGAAGAAAAAUCUGUUGCAAAACAAGGAAAGGUUUGGGUGAAAUAUGUCUUGAAUAAAGUUUAUUGGCAAAGAAAAUCUUAUAUUUUC